rnacentral:rRNA from 1 species
GACGAACGCUGGCGGCGUGCUUAACACAUGCAAGUCGAACGGAAAGGCCCUGCUUUUGUGGGGUGCUCGAGUGGCGAACGGGUGAGUAACACGUGAGUAACCUGCCCUUGACUUUGGGAUAACUUCAGGAAACUGGGGCUAAUACCGGAUAGGAGCUCCUGCUGCAUGGUGGGGGUUGGAAAGUUUCGGCGGUUGGGGAUGGACUCGCGGCUUAUCAGCUUGUUGGUGGGGUAGUGGCUUACCAAGGCUUUGACGGGUAGCCGGCCUGAGAGGGUGACCGGCCACAUUGGGACUGAGAUACGGCCCAGACUCCUACGGGAGGCAGCAGUGGGGAAUAUUGCACAAUGGGCGGAAGCCUGAUGCAGCAACGCCGCGUGCGGGAUAACGGCCUUCGGGUUGUAAACCGCUUUCGCCUGUGACGAAGCGUGAGUGACGGUAAUGGGUAAAGAAGCACCGGCUAACUACGUGCCAGCAGCCGCGGUGAUACGUAGGGUGCGAGCGUUGUCCGGAUUUAUUGGGCGUAAAGGGCUCGUAGGUGGUUGAUCGCGUCGGAAGUGUAAUCUUGGGGCUUAACCCUGAGCGUGCUUUCGAUACGGGUUGACUUGAGGAAGGUAGGGGAGAAUGGAAUUCCUGGUGGAGCGGUGGAAUGCGCAGAUAUCAGGAGGAACACCAGUGGCGAAGGCGGUUCUCUGGGCCUUUCCUGACGCUGAGGAGCGAAAGCGUGGGGAGCGAACAGGCUUAGAUACCCUGGUAGUCCACGCUGUAAACGGUGGGUACUAGGUGUGGGGUCCAUUCCACGGGUUCCGUGCCGUAGCUAACGCUUUAAGUACCCCGCCUGGGGAGUACGGCCGCAAGGCUAAAACUCAAAGGAAUUGACGGGGCCCCGCACAAGCGGCGGAGCAUGCGGAUUAAUUCGAUGCAACGCGUAGAACCUUACCUGGGUUUGACAUGGAUCGGGAGUGCUCAGAGAUGGGUGUGCCUCUUUUGGGGUCGGUUCACAGGUGGUGCAUGGCUGUCGUCAGCUCGUGUCGUGAGAUGUUGGGUUAAGUCCCGCAACGAGCGCAACCCUUGUUCACUGUUGCCAGCACGUUAUGGUGGGGACUCAGUGGAGACCGCCGGGGUCAACUCGGAGGAAGGUGGGGAUGACGUCAAGUCAUCAUGCCCCUUAUGUCCAGGGCUUCACGCAUGCUACAAUGGCUGGUACAGAGAGUGGCGAGCCUGUGAGGGUGAGCGAAUCUCGGAAAGCCGGUCUCAGUUCGGAUUGGGGUCUGCAACUCGACCUCAUGAAGUCGGAGUCGCUAGUAAUCGCAGAUCAGCAACGCUGCGGUGAAAACGUUCCCGGGGCU